AUUGAACGCUGGCGGCAAGCCUAACACAUGCAAGUCGAACGAGUGGCGGACGGGUGAGUAAUGUAUGGGAAACUGCCUGAUGGAGGGGGAUAACGACUGGAAACGGUAGCUAAUACCGCAUACCAUCGGAUGUGCCCAGAUGGGAUUAGCUAGUAGGCGGGGUAAAGGCUCACCUAGGCGACGAUCCCUAGCUGGUCUGAGAGGAUGACCAGCCACACUGGAACUGAGACACGGUCCAGACUCCUACGGGAGGCAGCAGUGGGGAAUAUUGGACAAUGGGCGCAAGCCUGAUGCAGCCAUACCGCGUGUGUGAAGAAGGCCUUCGUGUUGUAAAGUACUUUCAGCGGGGAAGCGUUACCCGCAGAAUAAGCACCGGCUAACUCCGUGCCAGCCGCCGCGGUAAUUC
rnacentral:rRNA from 1 species